rnacentral:rRNA from 1 species
CCCAAGAGAUCGGGAUAACACCUGGAAACAGAUGCUAAUACCGGAUAACAACAGAUGAUGCCUAUCAACUGUUUAAGAGAUGGUUCUGCUAUCACUCUUGGAUGGACCUGCGGUGCAUUAGCUAGUUGGUAGGGUAACGGCCUACCAAGGCGAUGAUGCAUAGCCGAGUUGAGAGACUGAUCGGCCACAUUGGGACUGAGACACGGCCCAAACUCCUACGGGGAGGCAGCAGCC